UGGGGUGUAGCUCAGUUGGUAGAGUGCUUGCCUAGCGUGCAAGAGACCUGGGUUCAACUCCCAGCGCUGCAU